AUAAUACUCCAUAGAUUAGAGACACUGGAAUGUUCUUUAGUCGAAAGUUCUGGCGCCUUAGGAUGGAUCUGCGGUCGAUUAGGUUGUUGUUGGGGUAACGGCCCAACAAGCCUGUAAUCGACACGGGUUGUGGGAGCAAGAGCCCGGAGAUGGAAUCUGAGACACGAUUCCAGGCCCUACGGGGCGCAGCAGGCGCGAAAACUUUACAAUGCAGGAAACUGUGAUAAGGGAGCUCCGAGUGCCCGUAUACGCGGGCUGUCCAGGUGUUUAAAAAUCAUCUGAAGAAAGGGCCGGGCAAGACCGGUGCCAGCCGCCGCGGUAAUACCGGCGGCUCGAGUGGUGGCCACUAUUAUUGGGCUUAAAGCGUCCGUAGCUGGACCGAUAAGUCUCUUGGGAAAUCCGCCGGCUCAACCGGCGGGCGUCUAAGGGAUACUGUUAGUCUAGGGACCGGGAGAGGUGAGAGGUACUCCGGGGGUAGGAGUGAAAUCCUGUAAUCCCCGGGGGACCACCGAUGGCGAAGGCAUCUCACCAGAACGGCUCCGACAGUGAGGGACGAAAGCUGGGGGAGCGAACCGGAUUAGAUACCCGGGUAGUCCCAGCCGUAAACUAUGCGCGUUAGGUGU
rnacentral:rRNA from 1 species